rnacentral:rRNA from 1 species
GUCUUCUACAGUGCUACCCUGAAUCCCUGAUCCAGGAAGCUAAGCAGAUUGAGUCUGGUUAGUACUUGGAUAAGAGACUAUUUAGGAAUACCAGGUGCUGGAGGCU